rnacentral:rRNA from 1 species
GGGGAGAAGAAAUUGUGACUGCCCGUCGGACGGGUGAGUAACGCGUGGGCAACCUGCCCCAUACAGGGGGAUAACAGCCGGAAACGGCUGCUAAAACCGCAUAAGCGCACAAGGGCCGCAUGGCCUGGUGUGAAAAACUCCGGUGGUAUGGGAUGGGCCCGCGUCUGAUUAGCUAGUUGGCGGGGGAGAGGCCCACCAAGGCGACGAUCAGUAGCCGACCUGAGAGGGUGGCCGGCCACAUUGGGACUGAGACACGGCCCAACUCCUACGGGAGGCAGCAGUGGGGAGUAUUGCACAAUGGGGGAAACCCUGAUGCAGCGACGCCGCGUGAGCGAAGAAGUAUUUCGGUAUGUAAAGCUCUAUCAGCAGGGAAGAAAAAUGACGGUACCUGAGUAAGAAGCACCGGCUAAAUACGUGCCAGCAGCCGCGGUAAUACGUAUGGUGCAAGCGUUAUCCGGAUUUACUGGGCGUAAAGGGAGCGCAGGCGGUGCGGCAAGUCUAAUGUGAAAGCCCGGGGCUCAACCCCGGGACUGCAUUGGAAACUACCGAACUAGAGUGUCGGGGAGGUAAGUGGAAUUCCUAGUGUAGCGGUGAAAUGCGUAGAUAUUAGGAGGAACACCAGUGGCGAAGGCGGCUUACUGGACGAUAACUGACGCU